rnacentral:rRNA from 1 species
UACGUAGGGUGCGAGCGUUAAUCGGAAUUACUGGGCGUAAAGCGUGCGCAGGCGGUUUUGUAAGCCAGAUGUGAAAUCCCCGGGCUUAACCUGGGAAUGGCAUUUGGGACUGCAAGGCUUGAGUGCGGCAGAGGAGACUAGAAUUCCUGGUGUAGCAGUGAAAUGCGUAGAUAUCCGGAGGAACACCGGUGGCGAAGGCGGCUUCCUGGACCGACACUGACGCUGAGGCGCGAAAGCUAGGGGAGCAAACGGG